UUAAUUUUUUCAGGGAAGUUCUAAUCAAUAUGGGCAAUAGCAGGGCAGGAUUUCCAAUCUUAACAUUCAUUUCAGCAAAACUGAGCAUUUUAAGUUCAAAUAUUUUUGGCAGUGUCAUGAAAUUGGGGAGUUUCCUUAUAUAAAAUAUGUAGCCUUGGUCAAUACUUUCAAAUUGCAUCUGUAUCCUUGUGUAGGUUCGAG
rnacentral:misc_RNA from 1 species